rnacentral:lncRNA from 1 species
CUCAGUCCGCGGAGCCGGUGAGUGCGCCCGGGAGAGGCGGCCUGGGCAGUCCCAGGGCAGGGCCGCCCACCGCUGUGUGCGCCGCGCCCGGGGCUAGGAGCCCGCUCGCUGGUCCCCGAGCCCCAGCGUCUCUUCGCCGACCGCUCCCAAGUUCUCGACGCGGUGGGUUGGCCUUUAUCACACAGCGGGUCUGCGAUGCUCCCCGCGCAGCCCCGCGGUCUGCAGGGCACGCCACGCGCCGCUUGUCUGCUUGGACUGAGAUGACAGCUGAUGUCAGUUCCUGAGAAGGAAGGGGAAACUGAUGCCGCCGAACGUUGUUUUGCUGGAAUCUAUUAUAUUGCAUGCUUGAAAAUAGUCUGAUAUAAAGCAUAAUGAAACUGGAUGUCCAAAAACACUCCUUAAAUCGUCGGUAAAUGUACUAGUGGAACUAAAGCAUUUACUAGACUACAUGAUGUCACUCUAAAGACUACUUGCUCGUGCACUGCCACUCUGUUACCAUAGCCUUAAGUGCCUUGCUGCACAGUUCCCUGUCACUGUAACUACUGUACUGACAGGUCUUCACCUUCUCCCACCAUCAGAAUGGCAUUGAUAGGGAUGACUCCAAAGGCUGUUCCCGAACGGGGAUGACUGCUCAGGCCCAGAGUUCCGCUAGAUGAUUUGUACCUUUCCACCUUUGCUCUAUACACUAAAUAUGUUAUGUGUGCUUUUAAAUCUUAGAAAACAAAAAAAGCGUGCCAGGCCCAUGGAAGAUAGGAAGCCUGGAAAACUUACAGAUUGGAAGGGACUAAGGAAAAAUAGCUAAAUGCAAUUUAGGAUCCUAUAUCAGAGAAAGAGUGUUACUGAAAAAUUACAAGAUGUGACUAAUUUGGGUUAAUCGCACCGAUGUGCAUGUCCUGGUUUUGAUAAUUGUACCAUGGUUAUAUGAAAUAUUAACAUUCG